GGAGAGGAAGAUGUGAUGAAGUGCUGGAAAAUCUACUCUGGGCGUGUGUGCUGUUUCCAGAUAGUAGGGCAUUAUGUUCCAGGAAAUAGUUCAUGAUUGCUAUCAGCUAAUAUCCCCUAGCUCUCCUAUUGCCUUUCUAAAGCUGCUGUUCCAUUCUCAGUGACAAGGAAUGGAUCUGCAACAAUGGAGUCCAUGCACACAGAAGAGGGCAAUAACAGUAGAGAGAAGAGUUCCUAGAUUCCAGCGUGUCCAGAUCUUGAGAGUUGCCAGUCACAUGACACUUGGUGUGUUGUUCAGUGGCCCACCUCUAGGCCUCUGUUUUCUUUUUUUUUUUCUUCUAUUUUUUUUUAAAGAAGAAUGUCAGGCCUUAUUUGAUGUCCAUGGGAUGGAGAGACACCCCUGUCCUGGAGACAUGUGGUUCUGGUUAGAGUCCAGGAAGAAAUGCUGCAUUCAGUCUCUGUGUACCAAUGAGAUGGAACCAACAGAGGAGAGGGGGAAAAAAGGAAGAAAAAAUUAGAGAAAAGAGACUAUGAAGGCGGUGAUGGGUCAAAGAUCCACGAGGUUAGAUGGGUGCAAAGUAGUUCCAUUAAUAUGCAUAUUCAUGAAAAAGAAUGAAAUGUAUGAUAUAUAUUUGUAUAUACAUAUAUAAAAAACCCACUUUCAACAAGUAACAAAUUUGGCUAACUUGUGUAGUACAUAUCUUGUACCUGCUACAAAUAUUUUCUUGUCUGUGAUACCUUUAAAUUGUGAAAUAGUCACUGUCUUUCUGCCGCAUUUUAUGUUCAUAUUGGCUAUAGCAUACCAUAAAAGCAACAUGCACACUGUGCUCUCUCUUCUUUCUUUCUUUCUCUUUCCUUCUUUUCUUCUUUCCUUCCCUAAAAUAAGUUACUUUACACUGACAGAUAAUAUAUUUAUUUCUAAGCAUGGGAACAUAAUAAGAGUUUUGGUAGUGAAAACUGAAUGUAAAAAAGAGCUCACAGAAAGCUAUAGAGGAGAGACCUUCUUUUUAAACAAAAUGUAGGAAAGGAAGAAAAAAAAGGCCGCUCCUGAAAACCUGGAAGGCUUCCAGUUCAAUGAAUAAGAAUUUCAAAUGUACAUUCAAAAAGCUCUUCAGUAUUUAUAUGCAAAUAGUAUCAAAGAAAGCAGUGGAAAAAAGUCUCCCUAACAUUGGCUGAAAAACAGGUAUUUUCAGUUCUGGAAGAUUUAUGUUUUCCAUAGGAACCAGAUGAGAUGAAAUAAAGACUUAACAGAAGUGAUUAAAUAGCA
rnacentral:lncRNA from 1 species